rnacentral:rRNA from 1 species
UACGGGGGGGGCAAGCGUUGUUCGGAAUUACUGGGCGUAAAGGGCUCGUAGGUGGCCAACUAAGUCAGACGUGAAAUCCCUCGGCUUAACCGGGGAACUGCGUCUGAUACUGGAUGGCUUGAGUUUGGGAGAGGGAUGCGGAAUUCCAGGUGUAGCGGUGAGAUGCGUAGAUAUCUGGAGGAACACCGGUGGCGAAGGCGGCAUCCUGGACCAACACUGACACUGAUGAGCGAGAGCCAGGGGAGCAAACGGG